rnacentral:rRNA from 1 species
GACGAACGCUGGCGGCGUGCUUAACACAUGCAAGUCGAACGGAAAGGCCCUGCUUUUGUGGGGUGCUCGAGUGGCGAACGGGUGAGUAACACGUGAGUAACCUGCCCUUGACUUUGGGAUAACUUCAGGAAACUGGGGCUAAUACCGGAUAGGAGCUCCUGCUGCAUGGUGGGGGUUGGAAAGUUUCGGCGGUUGGGGAUGGACUCGCGGCUUAUCAGCUUGUUGGUGGGGUAGUGGCGUACCAAGGCUUUGACGGGUAGCCGGCCUGAGAGGGUGACCGGCCACAUUGUGACUGAGGUACGGCCCGGACUCCUACGGGCGGCAGCAGUGGGGAAUAUUGCACGAUGGGCGGAAGCCUGAUGCAGCAACGCCGCGUGCGGGAUGACGGCCUUCGGGUUGUAACCCGCUUUCGCCUGUGACGAAGCGUGAGUGACGGUAAUGGUAAAGAAGCCCCGGCUAACUACGUG